rnacentral:rRNA from 1 species
CAUCAAAAACUUUUUGGUUAAAGUGUGGGAAGAGAAAGAUGAAAUUAGUUGUGUAGGGGUAAAAUCCGUAGAGAUAACUAGGAAUACCAAAAGCGAAGGCGAUCUCCUGGAACAAUACUGACGCUAAGGCGUGAAAGCGUGGGGAGCAAACGGGAUUAGAUACCCCGGUAGUCCACGCCCUAAACGAUGAACACUAGUCGUCGGAAUGCUAGUCAUUUCGGUGAUACACUUAACAGAUUAAGUGUUCCGCCUGGGGAGUACGGUCGCAAGAUUAAAACUCAAAGGAAUAGACGGGGACCCGCACAAGUGGUGGAGUAUGUGGUUUAAUUCGACGCAACGCGCAGAACCUUACCUGGUCUUGACAUCCCGAAAAUCUCUUGGAAACUUGAGAGUGCCUCAUUAGAGGAGUUCGGUGACAGGUGCUGCAUGGCUGUCGUCAGCUCGUGUCGUGAGAUGUUGGGUUAAGUCCCGCAACGAGCGCAACCCUUGCCUUUAGUUGCCAUCAUUAAGUUGGGCACUCUAGAGGGACUGCCGGUGUCAAACCGGAGGAAGGUGGGGAUGACGUCAAGUCCUCAUGGCCUUUAUGACCAGGGCUACACACGUACUACAAUGGCAUGUACAAAGGGCAGCCACUUCGCAAGAAGGAGCGAAUCCCAAAAACAUGUCUCAGUCCGGAUUGGAGUCUGCAACUCGACUCCAUGAAGUUGGAAUCGCUAGUAAUCGUAGAUCAGCAUGCUACGGUGAAUACGUUCCCGGGCCUUGUACACACCGCCCGUCACACCACGGGAGUUGGUUGUACCAGAAGUAGUUGAGCGAACCCUUCGGGGGCGCAGGCUACCAAGGUAUGGUCGGUAACUGGGGUGAAGUCGUAACAAGGUAACC